GAUUAACGCUGGCGGCAUGCCUAAUACAUGCAAGUCGAACGGAAGCAGCAAUGCUUUAGUGGCGAACGGGUGAGUAACACGUAGGGAACCUACCUAUACGACGAGGAUAACUACUGGAAACGGUAGCUAAAACUGGAUAGGAUCAAUUGAGGCAUCUUGAUUGAUUUAAAGAUCCUUCGGGAUUACGUAGAGAUGGCCCUGCGGCGCAUUAGCUAGUUGGUGAGGUAACGGCCCACCAAGGCGACGAUGCGUAGCUGAGCUGAGAGGCUAAACAGCCACACUGGGACUGAGACACGGCCCAGACUCCUACGGGAGGCAGCAGUAGGGAAUUUUCGGCAAUGGGGGAAACCCUGACCGAGCAAUGCCGCGUGAACGAUGAAGGUCUUCGGAUUGUAAAGCUCUGUUGUAAGGGAAGAACGGUACAUAGAGGGAAUGCUAUGUAAGUGACGGUACCUUACCAGAAAGCCACGGCUAACUACGUGCCAGCAGCCGCGGUAAUU
rnacentral:rRNA from 1 species